rnacentral:rRNA from 1 species
UAGGGAAUCUUCGGCAAUGGACGAAAGUCUGACGGAGCAAUGCCGCGUGGAGGUGGAAGGCCUACGGGUCGUCAACUUCUUUUCUCGGAGAAGAAACAAUGACGGUAUCUGAGGAAUAAGCAUCGGCUAACUCUGUGCCAG